rnacentral:rRNA from 1 species
AUGAAGUUGGAUUCGCUAGUAAUCGCGCAUCAGCCAUGGCGCGGUGAAUACGUUCCCGGGCCUUGUACACACCGCCCGUCAAGCCAUGGAAGCUGGGGGUGCCUGAAGUUCGUGACCGGAAGGAGCGACCUAGGGCAAAACCGGUGACUGGGGCUAAGUCGUAACAAGGUAUC